rnacentral:tRNA from 1 species
GCACUGGUAGGUACUCUACGUUGUGGCCGUGGCGACACAGGUUCGAUUCCUGUCCUGGGCA